UACAUCUUGGCUGUUGUGGGUUUCCACAUG
rnacentral:sRNA from 1 species